ACCAAAUCCACCCUUCCCUAAUUCAUUUUUCGCUGAGAAGUCAUUAGUGGCCUCAACUAGUUCUUGAUAAGUAAACCAUGUCUUUGCAUUGUUGAAUCCACCAGGGUCUGCUGGAGAAUUGAGGAAAUUAGAGCUCGUUCCGUUUAUCUCAGAUGUCGUCGAUUCAUUGACCUUCAAUAAAGCAGACUCUGAUUUUGGAGAGGAGCACGUUGAGAUUGGCUUGACAUAACCACUACAAUGGACAGAAUUCUUCUUCUUUCGCUUCCGUAUGCACCAUACAACUGCUCCGAUGAUACCAACCAAUAA
rnacentral:misc_RNA from 1 species